CACUACUUUUGACCAGGGCUCAAUGUAAUUUGGGAAAUGCCCCUGGUGUGAGUGGAAUUUCCUGUUUGAAUACGUUGUUACCUCAUCUGCCUCACUCCUCCCCUCUGUGUGUGCGCUCGUUCUCACUCUCUUUCCUACCUGGUUCACUUUCUCACUGUCUGUCUGGAGUAGCAGCUCUAUUCUUUAGCUCCACACAGUCGUCUCCUCCAGGACUCCAGUCCACAGUACCUCGUCUCCUCCAGGACUCCAGUCCACAGUACCUCGUCUCCUCCAGGGCUCCAGUCCACAGUACCUCGUCUCCUCCAGGACUCCAGUCCACAGUACCUCGUCUCCUCCAGGACUCCAGUCCACAGUACCUCGUCUCCUCCAGGGCUCCAGUCCACAGUACCUCGUCUCCUCAAGGACUCCAAAAAGACAGUAUGGAGAAGAGCCAGUAUGGACCCCCGCAGGACGCGUCGGCUCCCCCCUACCCCGGCUUCCCAGCGGGCUACCAGGGAAGUGGGGGGGGAACAGCCUACCCCCCUCAGCCUGGCUUCCAGGGAGGUCCCCAACCCGGCAUGUACCCACCACCUCCCCAACCCGGCAUGUACCCACCACCUCCCCAACCCGGCAUGUACCCACCACCUCCCCAACCCGGCAUGUACCCACCACCUCCCCAACCCGGCAUGUACCCACCACCUCCCCAAUACGGCACGGGCAUGGCACAACCUACAAACGUCC